CGGACGGGUGAGUAACACGUGGAAAACCUGCCGUAUACUGGGGGAUAACACUUAGAAAUAGGUGCUAAUACCGCAUAAGCGCACAGCUUCGCAUGAAGCGGUGUGAAAAACUCUGGUGGUAUACGAUGGUUCCGCGUCUGAUUAGCUAGUUGGUGGGGUAAUGGCCUACCAAGGCAACGAUCAGUAGCCGGCCUGAGAGGGUGAACGGCCACAUUGGGACUGAGACACGGCCCAAACUCCUACGGGAGGCAGCAG
rnacentral:rRNA from 1 species